rnacentral:ncRNA from 1 species
GGCCCGGACACUGUAAGGAUUGACAGGUUGAGAGCUCUUUCUUGAUUCGGCGGGUGAUGGUGCAUGGUUGUUCUUUGUUGGUGGAGCGAUUUGUCUGGUUAAUUCCGAUAACGAACGAGACUCUAGCCUAGUAUUUUGGCCGUGUGUGUAUAUAUCCCCAGUAACGUCUUAACUUCAUGUAAAUGCACCAGGGUGCCAACGACGGUGUGUACGCUCGGUACGGCGACGGAUGAGUCACGUUGAAAGUC